CACGGAUCCAGAGUUUGAUUAUGGCUCAGAUUGAACGCUGGCGGCAGGCUUAACACAUGCAAGUCGAACGGUAACGGGGAGGGAGAUUACUUUCUCUGCUGACGAGUGGCGGACGGGUGAGUAAAGCUUGGGAAUCUGGCGAAUGGAGGGGGAUAGCCGCGGGAAACUGUGGGUAAUACCGCGUAAUGUCUAAGGACUAAAGGGGUGGGACUGUAAGAGGCCACCUGCCAUUUGAUGAGCCCAAGUGGGAUUAGGUAGUUGGUGAGGUAAGGGCUCACCAAGCUGACGAUCUCUAGCUGGUCUGAGAGGAUGGCCAGCCACACUGGAACUGAGACACGGUCCAGACUCCUACGGGAGGCAGCAGUGGGGAAUAUUGCGCAAUGGGGGGAACCCUGACGCAGCCAUGCCGCGUGAAUGAAGAAGGCCUUCGGGUUGUAAAGUUCUUUCGGUGAUGAGGAAGGCGAUUAGUUUAAGAGAUUAAUUGAUUGACGAUAAUCACAGAAGAAGCACCGGCUAACUCCGUGCCAGCAGCCGCGGUAAUACGGAGGGUGCGAGCGUUAAUCGGAAUGACUGGGCGUAAAGGGCACGCAGGUGGUGACUUAAGUGAGGUGUGAAAUCCCCGGGCUUAACCUGGGAACAGCAUUUCAGACUGGGUGACUAGAGUACUUUAGGGAGGGGUAGAAUUCCACGUGUAGCGGUGAAAUGCGUAGAGAUGUGGAGGAAUACCGAAGGCGAAGGCAGCCCCUUGGGAAGAUACUGACGCUCGAGUGCGAAAGCGUGGGGAGCAAACAGGAUUAGAUACCCUGGUAGUCCACGCUGUAAACGAUGUCGAUUUGGGGAUUGGGUGAACACUUGGUGCCCGAAGCUAACGUGAUAAAUCGACCGCCUGGGGAGUACGGCCGCAAGGUUAAAACUCAAAUGAAUUGACGGGGGCCCGCACAAGCGGUGGAGCAUGUGGUUUAAUUCGAUGAUACGCGAGGAACCUUACCCGGGCUCGAACGGCAGAUGAAUUGAGUAGAGAUAUUCAAGUCUUCGGACAUCUGUCGAGGUGCUGCAUGGUUGUCGUCAGCUCGUGCUGUGAAGUGUCGGCUUAAGUGCCAUAACGAGCGCAACCCUUGCCGUUAGUUGCCAUCAGGUUAUGCUGGGGACUCUAGCGGGACUGCCACCGCAAGGUGUGAGGAAGGGGGGGAUGACGUCAAAUCAGCACGGCCCUUACGUCCGGGGCGACACACGUGUUACAAUGGUGGGUACAGAGGGAAGCUACCUGGCGACAGGAUGCAGAUCUCGAAAACCCAUCCCAGUUCGGAUUGGAGUCUGCAACCCGACUCCAUGAAGUUGGAUUCGCUAGUAAUCGCGCAUCAGCCAUGGCGCGGUGAAUACGUUCCCGGGCCUUGUACACACCGCCCGUCAAGCCAUGGAAGCCGGGGGUGCCUGAAGUACGUGACCGAGAGGAGCGUCCUAGGGCAAAACUGGUGACUGGGGCUAAGUCGUAA
rnacentral:rRNA from 1 species